UUUUUUUUUUUUUUGCUUUUUGGGUCCACGCCCCUGGCAUAUGGAAGCCCCCAGGUGCAGCCAUAAAAAGAAAAGGAAAAAAAUACGUAAAAUAACAAUAGCUCCAAGUGCCCUGUGCCAGGCUGUCUGCUAGGUAUUUCCUCAUCUCCUUUACCAACUCCCAUCAUUCUCCCAUUCUAUGGAAGAGGAAACUGAGGCACAGUGAGGGUGACGGACAAUGCUGGGCAACAGCAAUGCCAGGAUUCCAACCCAGAGCCCAACUGGACCCCGGUUACACCUGGCCCCCUCUCCUGCCAUCUCCACCCACCCCCGGCUGCCCCUUACCCCUUGCCCAGCCCCCAUGGGUGUCUCUUGGGGGGAGGCUCAGAAGUCCCAGUCAGCUCUGGAACCUGGUCCUGACUCCUAUCGCUUCCCACCUGGAGGGCAAUUCCAGUGCCGGACCCCUCGGUCUCCUCCCUGACAUGCUAUCAAGCCUCCCAGGGCAGAGCCGGUGACUCCCCCACCCUCUGAGAGAAGUGGGUACGGAGACUUUGGGGCCACUCUGGAGCUGUGGCACAGAGCUCCACAGACAGGCCCCUGGUUUCCAGGGGCCUGAAUUCCAUGCCCUGUGGAGCAGCAUCCCUGUACCGUGACCUGAGUGAUGGAGGGGAUGAAAGGGAGAAACCCCAGGUCAGUCCUGGCCUUACACGUGGUUUCCACUAGGAGGGACGGUCAGGCACCAUGACGGCCAUCUGCCUGGCCUCCUGGUACAGGAGUCCUAACACGGGGACACCUGACUCUGGGGGAUUUAUGGAGGGAGUGGGAGGCCCCAACUCCU
rnacentral:lncRNA from 1 species